UGGUGACUAUAGCAAGGAGGUCACACCUGUUCCCAUGCCGAACACAGAAGUUAAGCUCCUUAGCGUCGAUGGUAGUCGA
rnacentral:rRNA from 2 species